GCCGGCUUAGCUCAGUUGGGAGAGCAUCUGAUUUGUAGUCAGAGGGUCGCGUGUUCAUGUCAUGUAGCCGGCA
rnacentral:tRNA from 1 species